rnacentral:rRNA from 2 species
GGUUGCAAAAGAAGUAGGUAGCUUAACCUUCGGGAGGGCGCUUACCACUUUGUGAUUCAUGACUGGGGUGAAGUCGUAACAAGGUAACCGUAGGGGAACCUGCGGUUGGAUCACCUCCUUACCUGAAGA